UUUUUUUUUAUUUUUAUUUUUAUUGAUAUAUUUUUUAUUUACAUUUCAAAUGAUUUCCCCUUUUCUGGGUCCCCGCAAGUCUCAUAAACCCUCUUCUGUCCCCCUGUUCUUCCAUCCACCCCUUCCCACUUCCCUGUUCUGGAAUUCCCAAUACUCUUGCACUGAGUCUUUCCAGAACCAGGGGCCACUCCUCCAUUCUUUUUGGACAUCAUUUAAUUUCAACAUACUUUCUUAAUGCCCAUUAAAGUAAAUGCCCAUAACUCACAAAAUUAACUCCUAAUUAUAGAAAUGGUAAUAGAACAAAAGAAUACAUAAUGCAGAAUUUUAAUUAUUUAGGCUACAAGUAUAAACAACUAAUAGGAUUAUCUGAAGAGAGUAGUAUCAAUUUUUUUCCCUGUAAUCAGAUUACUUUUUUUGUCCAGAUCUGUGUGAACCAUCUUUUACAAUCUGCUGUAUUCUGAUUUGGAUUCCUUUGUGCUAAUAUACAUAGGAAUGGCAGCUGGGCCAUGAUGUAGUUAUGUUUUGUUCUUUAGGGUCUCACUCUAACCCAGGUUAAUCUGGAACUUUCUAGCCUCAGACUCCUAGGGAUUCCUACAUGGUGAGAUUAUAGGUGUGAGCUGGGCACAUACAACUAACUAACUUCUGCAUUUUUGUUUCAGUGGUUUAGAAGUUUUAAUACUGAUGCCUCCCAGCUCAUUUUCUGCUGUUUUACUUUUGUUUGCUUGAAGAGAAAUUCUGACCGACAUCAGAAUUUUCCUUUUAAUAGGCUGAAGUCAGUGUGCUGUAGUAAGUUACCUGGGACCAUGGCUGAAAAGGGUCUGUGAAGAUAUUCUCUGGGAAGAUUAACUGAAGAAAAAGACACCCACCUCCAUCCCCACCCCACCACCACAGUAUCCUUCCAACUGUCUGGGUAUAUGAAAGUCAGCAAGAAAAGCAAUUGUUUCUUGCUGCCUGCUUUGACGCUUGCUCAUGAGUACAUAUAGUCUGAAUGAGUGUCUCUUGGGAUAGUAUGCUCAGUGCAGAAGAAGACCACUUCUCACGUGUUUCUCCUGGACCAACUAAGACUUCAAACUGCAACUGACACUCAUAACGAGCAAGUCCCUAUGAAUGGAAAUAGACCAUCACCACUGGGGCAUCUGUUUGAGAAGUGCAAACCACUUUAGAAGUGAUUUAAGUAGAAUUGAUCUGAACAAAAAUCAAAUCCCAAUACGUGGUGACUUUCUCAGAUUUCAGCCCAGCAGCCUUAAGAGUUUCCAGAGUUACUUUAUACCUCAGAGUUGAAUCAACAUUAAUCUAUGUCAUGAUUAUGUCUGAGGGUAGCCUGGGCUACAUAGUGAGUUCUAGCCCCUCAGAGAUGAGUUCCAAGUCUGAGCUACAUACAGUUCACACUAGCCUGAGCCACAGUAUACAAACCCUGACUUCUCCCCACAAAGUAUUUUGUUGCUGAGGAUUAAAGUGUACUUUUCUUGCUGUCACAUUUUUUUAUGCUGAUGCUGUAUACCGGGGUUUAAAAGUAGAAACAGGUUAUAAACAGAAUAACCAUUUACCUAAAAACUGUAGAUACAAGAUAUUCAUUAUUGACAAAAUUUAAUUGAUGUAAACACUCUAGGAAGCAAACAUUGAUUUUUCUCAGGAAUUAAUUGGAAAUGAUCAAUUACUCUAUCAGAAUAGUGGCACCACCUCAUUUAUCAGGUGCUCAUUGUCCUGGUAGGCUAAGAAUGCCCUUUUGACUUACGAAUAUUACAGUAGCCCUAAGGGAAAGAGCUUAAAUCAUUACAGUGAUGGCUGUCUCCAGCUGUCUCUGAGAGUAUCAUUGUUCUUAAUACAGAGGUGGGGUUUGACUUAAAAGGAACUGGCUAUGUCUUAAAGUCCUAUUGGGGGUCUAUCCUUUUACACAGGGAGUGAUAUGAAUCCCAACCUGAGAUAAGUUCCAUACACAAUGGCUGUCAGGUCCUGGAAACCCCGGUUCUCCAAACUCCAAAAGUCUGUUGAAAUACACAAAAAUGACUUCUUUUAGCAAAUGGGAACUGGUUUCACCAGUUCAUUAGAAAUAGUGACUUUUCCCCAACCACCAAAAAUCUUCCUGUGCUCCAGAUUUGAGAUCAUUUCUAAAUAUAUGGGUUGCCUUUUGGAGUUUAGUGAAUUGGGGUUUCCUAUGGACCUCACUGUGGCCACAGGGAUAUAGGUAUAGUGUGAACACUGAGUCUACAUUUUAUAUUUAUGUAAUACAUACAUUGUACUUAUGUGUAAUACAAGGCUCUAUCAAAAUCUGAAUACCGUCUAUGGUAACCUAGAACAAAUCAGUGUUCAUAAUAUCCUGACCUUAUGACACCACAUUCAAGUGGCAAAUAUUUACUCCUCUGGCAAGCACUCUGCCACUGUGUUGUGAUUUGAUGUACUAAAAUUAUUAAUGUGCAAUCUUCAUAAUAAACAGUCUUUGGUUUUUAAGUGAUCUUGCUGGGUUGCCCAGAAUGACCUUAGCAGCAGCAGGGAUUACAGGUGUGUGCUGCCAAGCCUUGCUUAUGAUUUAUAUGUGUUUAUGUUAUGAACCAAGUGUCUAAUAUUUUAAAGACUAUAUAGAGAGAAAAAUAUAAAGGACAGGUUUGAUUUGGGUAAAUACUGGAUCUGUUAAUCCUGGUGCCUGCUCCAUGAUCUCUCAGAUGGUUGUUGAAAUAUUCAUUACCUCGCUAAGCAUUUGACAUAAUAUCAAUAAUUUUGGUAAAAUAUUCUAGUGAGGCAAUGCAUGUAUUGACACAGUGCCCACAGGGAUCUAAGCUUGUGAGCUGUUAGUUUUCAGUGAAUGUAGAUGCAAUAUCAGGAGAAAACAGACAGAUUUCUUUACAAGUCCCAGACACAUUCAGUACCUUAAAGUCUCUGCUGUUCUUUUUAAAGUUGACCUCACCAAUGACCCCAGCCAGACUCUGCAGGACACGGAACAAAAAUCAAGACAAGUACAAGAAAGAGGUUUGUUGGGAGAAGAGGGGUUCAUAGGGGCCAGUAGGGACUGGUAGGGGAGGGAGUUGGAGAAGGUGUAGAAUUCACAGUACACAUGUAUGAUUGUAAAAGAACAAAAUCUACCAAAAAUGAUAACUGAAUUUGGAUCUACAACUAAGCUUUAAAUAAUCUUUAAUAUGUUAGUGAUUAAAAUUUAAAAUAGCAAAACCAUAUAGAUCUUAAGUGGUUUUAUCAUCUCUUCUGGAAGUAAAGAAAUCUCAAAAUUUAGAACACUUUGGGCAGAAAAAUUAAGUUUUCCGCUUUCUGUUUUAAAAAGGCAGACAAUGCAAAAUGUUAACCUUGAUUUAGACGUGUACUCGGGAUUUUCCCUGAGGAGCACCAAUCAGGGCUGGGCUAAGAGUGCAGCAAAUGUGUGUUCCUGCCCCUCUGCUCUGUCUCCCUAAUAGUUGCAAACACAGGAGUUUCUGACAGGACCAGUUUGGAAUUGUGUUCGAAUCAGAAAAAAUAAGUGGCAGACCCUGAGGAUGUGAUAUUGGAGCUUUGCUGGUUUGGAUUCACAAGUCCUUGAAUAUCUGUUCACGGCCUGUAUUCCCAGCCCACAGCUAAUUCUUUUCGUCCAGUCUAAACCUGAAGCCAGAGAGGCAUUUCUAUAAUGGGAAUUCCAUGUGUACUAGCAGAGAUGGUUUCCAUUCCUGUUAGCACUGGCCUCACAGACUUGGAAUACCUUCCCGGCAUUGCUGCAGACUAUGGACCCCUCCACAGCAUCUAUGUCACAGUGGGACCAGACAAGGACACUCAGAUACUACUGUCUUUCUGAAGACUUCAGGGAUAUCUCUUGUCUUUCACAACUCAUAGUUUCAAAGUUCAAAAAUAGCUCAGAUCCAGACGAAGAGCCAAAGUGAUGGACUUGCUCUCACACCUGGUCAGCCGUGUGUUACCAGUCUUUGUUAUCCAGAAACACUCAGUCCUAGCAAACUGACACAUACUCUUCAUGCAGAAGAGAAAUGUUAAGUUAUAAAUCCUAGUACCUUUUUCAAAAGAUUUUAAAAAUUUAUUUAAUGUAUAUAAGUGCUCUAUCUGCAUGUGUACUUUUAUGCCAGAAGAGGGCAUCAAGUCACACUAUAGAUGGUUAUGAGCCACUAUGUGGUUGCUGGGAAUAGAACUCAGGACCUCUGGUAGGGCAGUCAGUGCUCUUAACCAUUGAGCCAUCUCUCCAGCCCCCUUAUAUCCUUCUUGUUCAUUGCCUUGCAGUUUUAAAUUAUGUAUAAAUUACCAGUUCUGUUCAUCAUCACCACCUAAUUAGCUACUUUUACUGCUUACAUAAUGCUCUGUACAAUUCAGACUAAGACAUAUAAAUACACAUAUCCUAUAUCAUCUCAAUGGCAGUGAACUUACUGGAUUUCCAUUUUAUUGCUAUUAAAAUAAUACAUAGCUCUUUUCAAACAUCUCAAUCUGUUUAUUCUUUAGGUGUCAAUCAAAACCAUAUACAUUUAUGAGUAGAUACUUGUGUAUAUUGUAAAAGGGCAGAAUCAAGCAGAUGAGCACACAUACUAUUUCACAUACUAAUCCAUAUAAUGAAAGUACUUAAAAUUACUGAGUAGUGUUCAAAUCCAUAGUGCAUUCUGUUAGCUAUGGUCAGCAUAGGGGGGUUGAGCUCUGUUAUCUCCCUGGGAGGUUACGCCUUUUGAUACCCUUUUCUGUCUCCUAACAUCAGUAUCUGUUAAGCAGCACUGGAAAUCAAUCCAGGAAAUCAACCUUUCAUAGCCCACAUAAAACGAGGUUAUGUGACAAUUCUUAAUUUAUUUAACAUUGUUUAGUGUCAUGCUUAUCUUACAGGAAAGCAUUUCAGUCUAUUAAAGGGCCAAUUAAUAUUUAAUUGCAUAUGCAUACAUGUAUGCAUCUUUUUAUUUUCAGUCUAUUCAUAUGUAUAUGUGAGCUUUGCACUUAAUUAAUUUAAAGCUUCUUUAAUUAAUCUAAGCUGUUGUGUUUAGAGGAACAAAGGAGAUCCAGUUUUAUCACAGGCACUUGUAAAUUGCUGAAGCUUUCCACACUGCUUUAAGUUAUUGUUUGUUUGUUUGAGGCAGGACAUUAUGUAGCCCAGGCUGGCCUCGAACUCACUACAUAGCGGGUGAUGAUAUUGACCUCCUAGUCCUUCUGCUUUGGGGAUUACAGGCCAGACAUGGACCAACACACCUACCUGUGCUGUUCACUUUUCAUCCUAAGAUCCUGGAAAUAUUUACAGACUUUAUUCUACUUGAUCUGUCCUUUUAAUAAAGUCACUUUUUAACUUUCUAUGUCCUUUUAAUGUAAUUCGAUCUCUGGUAAUCUUCCAGGAUUUAUCUAUGACAUCACUCUUAUUCCUUUGGUUUGGGGGAUUACAUCUUUGUGAUUUUAACUUUUUUGGGAAAACUGUAUCUCUUUUUACUUCAAAGGCUUUUUUUCAUCAUUAUUUAUAAUGCUAUAAUUUAUAAUUGUAACAUUUCUUGAUAAAUUGUUCUUAUGUAUUUUGGGUUUUGCUGUGUUUGUAACCCUUGGCCAUAGAAUGUAGCAACCAAAUGAAAGGUACCCACCAACUCAGGUCAAUCAUGCUUAUAGUGAAUAUCUGCUUCCUGCAUGUGAAAUCUUUGUGUGUAUUCGCACGCAUACAUUGGGUGGGUUCUCAGGCUUCUACUGUUUGGAGAUUCAUAUAAAACCUGCUUUAUGCAAAUAAACUCUCAAAAUUUAA